GCAGGAGUGAUGGGUGGCAUGGAAAGAGUAGGCCAAAGCUGAUUUCUUCUGUGGCUUUGUUUUACUCAGGAUGAGGAAAAUGGUGCGGAGGAGGAGGAGGAGAAUCCUGAGGACGUGGAUGAAGAAGAGGCAGGAGAAGAGGAUGAAGGUGGGAGCAGCUAAUGUGUGGGUGGGUUUGGGGAGCCAGGAUUGCAUUGCCAUGGAGACUGAAUCUCCCCUCUGGGCAUCCCCAGGGGGGCAGGUUUCCUUGAGGAUUGCCUGUAUUAACAUGUGACUUGCUGUUUUGCUUGUGUCUAGAUGGAGAUGAGAAUGGGCAGGAGCAGGACGGACAUGCAGCAAAACGAUCUGCAGAGGAAGAAGAGGAGGAUGAAGUUGAUCCAAAGAGACAGAAGACAGAAAAUGGGUCUUCGGCUUGAGUUCUCUCUUCCCAUCCUUUUCUGCUCCAUCUGUCUCUCCUCCCUCCAUUCCAGCCUGUGCUUGCACUGUCAUUUAGCCUCUGGCUUCACACAAUCUCAGAUGAGGAAGGAUUAGAAAUGCUCUCCGACAGAAGAGGGCAUGGGACUAAGUUUCCCUUCCACCCCAAGUUCUAAAGCCUUCCUACGAUGCUCUGAAAUCUGAGGUUGCCCACUCCCUCAGCCCGUCUCCACUACUGAUGACUAUUCCUGUAUCCCACUCCCAAAUAAUGCCAAUAGUCCUCAAAAUGAUGACCUGUCCUUCUCCCAACAAGCAAGGUGACAUAUCCCAACUUCCAGACUCAUCCCACAACAAGCACCUCUAAUCCCUUUUCACUUGCCACCUCUCUCCACUAAUUUGAUCAAGAUUCUCACCUGCCUCUGCUUCUGAGAUCUUCCCUCCAACAUCCUCCUUGGGAUACAGAAGGUUGAGGGCAGGGAUCUCAUGGUGAUAUUUCCCUAUCCUAAGUCUCCGCUUAACUGCCUUCUAUCUGAUCCCUCUGAGAGAGAGAGAGAAAGAAAAGGAAUGUUACAUGCAAAUAACUUUUUUUUAUUAAAGCAUACACAGAGGCUGAAAUGUAGGUACACAACAGGUAAACUGGCCCCAUGACUUUUUUUCCAGAAGAUAAAGGUUGUUUUUAUGUAUAAAUUAAUUUGUGUUGCAGUUUCUCAUUUUGGGGCUUUUUUUAAAAAAAAAAAGAAAAAAAAGAAAAAAGAGAGAGAAAUAAUUAGGGACCAAAUUUUGAUUAGCAUCCCCCUUCCAGAUUACCUUGUUGCUGUUUUUUGUAAAUUAAAGCCGAUCCAGUUAUGGCAUUUUCUAUGGCACAAACCAUCACAAGGGUGAUAGAUAUAAAUAUAUAUAUUGUUUUCAAGUAGCACUGUAAAUAAACGCAUUUAAAAAGAUAUUAAAGUGUGCA
rnacentral:lncRNA from 1 species